rnacentral:rRNA from 1 species
AACACAUGCAAGUCGAACGUGAUUUUGUGGAAAUCUUUCGGGAAUGGAAAUGAAAUGAAAGUGGCGAACGGGUGAGUAACACGUGAGCAACCUACCUUACACAGGGGGAUAGCCGUUGGAAACGACGAUUAAUACCGCAUGAGACCACAGAAUCGCAUGAUAUAGGGGUCAAAGAUUUAUCGGUGUAAGAAGGGCUCGCGUCUGAUUAGCUAGUUGGAAGGGUAGAGGCCUACCAAGGCGACGAUCAGUAGCCGGUCUGAGAGGAUGAACGGCCACAUUGGAACUGAGACACGGUCCAAACUCCUACGGGAGGCAGCAGUGGGGAAUAUUGCACAAUGGGGGGAACCCUGAUGCAGCGACGCCGCGUGAGCGAAGAAGGUUUUCGAAUCGUAAAGCUCUGUCCUAUGAGAAGAUAAUGACGGUAUCAUAGGAGGAAGCCCCGGCUAAAUACGUGCCAGCAGCCGCGGUAAUACGUAUGGGGCGAGCGUUGUCCGGAAUUAUUGGGCGUAAAGGGUACGUAGGCGGUUUUUUAAGUCAGGUGUGAAAGCGUGAGGCUUAACCUCAUUAAGCACUUGAAACUGGAAGACUUGAGUGAAGGA